UACGUAGGGGGCAGGCGUUGUCCGGAAUUAUUGGGCGUAAAGGGCUCGUAGGCGGUUUGUCGCGUCGGGAGUGAAAUCCACUGGCUUAACUGGUGGCUUGCUUUCGAUACGGGCAGACUGGAGGUAUGCAGGGGAGAACGGAAUUCCUGGUGUAGCGGUGAAAUGCGCAGAUAUCAGGAGGAACACCGGUGGCGAAGGCGGUUCUCUGGGCCUGUACUGACGCUGAGGAGCGAAAGCGUGGGGAGCGAACAGG
rnacentral:rRNA from 1 species